GCCAGGCGUGGUGGCGUGCGCCUGUAAUCCCAGCUACUCAGGAGGCUGAGGCAGAAGAAUCGCUUGAACCCAGGAGGCAGAGGUUGCAGUGAGUCGAGAUGGUGCCUCUGCACUCCAGCCUGGGCGACAGAGCGAGACUCUGUCUCAA
rnacentral:SRP_RNA from 1 species